rnacentral:rRNA from 1 species
AUUGAACGCUGGCGGCAGGCCUAACACAUGCAAGUCGAGCGCGAGACGGACGGGUGAGUAAUUUGUGGGAGACUGCCUGAUGGAGGGGGAGAUCUCAUCUAAACGGUAGCUAUUACCGACUACACUCUGAUAUGCCCAGAUGUGGUUCUCUAGUAGGUGGGGUAACGGAUCACCUCGGCGACGAUCCCUAGCUGGUGUGAGAGGAUGACCAGCCAAACUGGAACUGAGACACGGUCCAGAAUCCGACGGGAGGCAGCAGUGGGGAAUAUUGCACAAUGGGCGCAAGCCUGAUGCAGCCAUGCCGCGUGUGUGAAGAAGGCCUUCGGGUUGUAAAGUACUUUCAGCGGGGAGGCGUUACCCGCAGAAGAAGCACCGGCUAACUCCGUGCCAGCAGCCGCGGUAAUAC